rnacentral:tRNA from 1 species
CCUGCACGGGCGGUCCGGGCCGCCCGCCCGGUCGCGGUCCGGGUUCAGCGGUCCGGGUCGCCCGCCGGGGUGCGGUCC